GAUGAACGCUAGCGGCAGGCCUAAUACAUGCAAGUCGAACGGGAUCCAGAUCAAAGCUUGCUUUGGUCUGGUGAGAGUGGCGCACGGGUGCGUAACGCGUGAGCAACCUACCCUUGUCAGGGGGAUAGCCCGGCGAAAGUCGGAUUAAUACCGCAUGACAUCAUUGAGAGGCAUCUUUCGAUGAUCAAAGAUUUAUCGGACAAGGAUGGGCUCGCGUGACAUUAGCUAGUUGGUAAGGUAACGGCUUACCAAGGCUGCGAUGUCUAGGGGCUCUGAGAGGAGAAUCCCCCACACUGGUACUGAGACACGGACCAGACUCCUACGGGAGGCAGCAGUAAGGAAUAUUGGUCAAUGGACGGAAGUCUGAACCAGCCAUGCCGCGUGCAGGAAGACGGCCCUAUGGGUUGUAAACUGCUUUUAUACGGGAACAAACGUCGGUACGGGUACCGGUCUGAGUGUACCGUAAGAAUAAGGAUCGGCUAACUCCGUG
rnacentral:rRNA from 1 species